UCAGAACUUGCGAUUUAUGACGCAUAUAUAUUGACCAUAUAUAGUACUAGUUUUCAAUUGUUCCAAGAGGUAUUUCCAUGACUCAAUAUUAAUCCUCAUCAAGACCCCAUACAUGAAUUUCUGUCAAUCAACGGUCACGUCCUUUAGAAAUUUAAAUUGGUAAAAUUUCAUCUUGAUUGGGGGAAUUAAAUUAAUUAAUUAAUUAGCAUGUAAAUGGUAUAACGAAAUGUAUCUGAUUUCGAAUUCAAAUAUGUUUAUUCGAAUUUGGAUUUUUGGAUUCCGAAUCUGAAUACCAAAAAUGAUCGAUAUCCGAAAAUUAUCCUGACGGAUUCAGAUAUCUGCAAUAUCCGUCGUUAAAAUCCGAAUUCGGUUGAUAAUUCCUGCAUAUUCAGAUAUCCGAAUAAAUAUAAAUUGACUUCCGGAUAUUGGGAUUUUAGGAUGAUUAAUUGACUAUUAAUUAACUUUAUUAAAGUGUUUUUAUACUUUUAUAAUUUUAUUUUAAGGUUUUUAUAAAAAGGUUAUCGAGCGGACCGAUAUACAUGUCUAAUAAUUAAGGUCCGGUCCAUUAAUUAAUUAAUUAAUUAGUGAGCAGCAAACGGUUAUAUAGAGGUAAUACGGAUUAAGGAAAUAAUUAGCUAGGGUUUAAAUCAAAUGAAAGUGCAAUUAAGAAGCCAUUAAUUUAUUACUCAGUCCUAAAUAUAUAUAUAGAGAGAGGCAUUUAAUGGAUGGAUAAACAUCGAUCAAUCGAACAGCAGAUAUGUUUAUAAUGGUCGAAAAAAGGAAAAAGAAAAGGUUCCAUUUCAUGAGUUCCACCAAUAGACGGCUAGGGUUAAGGCUCAAAUAAUUGCCCUUGUCUUACAUUUGUCGGUGGUACGUUGGAUGAGGAACAGAUGCAGGUCAAUGAUAUAUCUGUGCGUGUGUAUAUAUGGAUGCUAUAACAAGAUCUUAGAACAAAAGCGAAAUCGAUCGGUCGAUAUAUUGACGAUAAGUAGAUGAAACCUGAAGAAGGGCAGUGAAGGAGGAUCGGAGAAAUAGGCGUGUUUUAAAAGAAAUAGAUCGAACAAGCUAAGGACGGAAAAAGGAAGAUAGAAGAAUUGCUCCGCCUGCUCCGUCUCCCACGUGAAG
rnacentral:lncRNA from 1 species